GGAGAGGAGGGAUGUGUUGCAGCAGAGUGGAUCGCUUACUCAAGACUUGCAGGAGUUGGUGACUGGGUGUUACCUGGGCGUUACCGGCACCACUUAUACCAAUGGCAAGACACUGCUGGGAAUCUUAGCAACCAUCAAGACUCACCACCCACAAGCACCAGCAUUAUCUCCAAUACCAAGAUACAUCCAUGUGUGAAAGGUUGUCAUCACAGGAGGAGGAAUCAUCAACAGAAGAGCAUGGCACACAGGACGCACCGGGCCUCGGCAAGUGUAUCAUUAUGCAGAUUAAACCAAACGGACGCGAGCAUGUGAUAGGAAAGAACUUGAGACGGAGAUUAAACAGCGGCCGGGCAUCCGCUACAAGGCAGUGCCCUCUUAGUUUGAGGAGCCCCGGAGGAUGAUGGGCAAAGAGAACGUGGAAUGAAGACGAGGGUACGGAAACACGAACCGAGGAGGAGCAAAGCUUAAUAAUAAUUAUAGAAUAUAUAUAAUAACAAUAAAAAUGAUAAUGAUAAUGGUAAUGGAGUUAGGGAUGUUUCAUUAAGGUCUGAAAGGAUUAAUAUGAGGCUGGCUUGAUAAAAAGGAAGUGAGGGAAGGAGAGGGAAGAAAUGGAGAAGAGGAAGAAAACGGGAGGUCGAUGAGAGGGGUGAGUAUAGGGUGGAGGAAGGAAAGAACAGAGAAGAAUACGAAGGAGUGAAUAGAAGAAAGAAGGAGAAGAGAGGGGAAAAAGAAGAAUAGGAAGUAGGAAAGAGACGAAAGAAGAAGAGCUUGGAGAAAUAGAAAAGAAUGAGAAAAGAGAAAUAAAGGGGAUAGAAGAAAAAU